CGCACAAGCGGUGGAGCAUGUGGUUUAAUUCGACGCAACGCGCAGAACCUUACCAGCCCUUGACAUCCCGGUCGCGGACUCCAGAGAUGGAGUUCUUCAGUUCGGCUGGACCGGAGACAGGUGCUGCAUGGCUGUCGUCAGCUCGUGUCGUGAGAUGUUGGGUUAAGUCCCGCAACGAGCGCAACCCCCGUCCUUAGUUGCUACCAUUUAGUUGAGCACUCUAAGGAGACUGCCGGUGAUAAGCCGCGAGGAAGGUGGGGAUGACGUCAAGUCCUCAUGGCCCUUACGGGCUGGGCUACACACGUGCUACAAUGGCGGUGACAAUGGGAUGCUAAGGGGCGACCCUUCGCAAAUCUCAAAAAGCCGUCUCAGUUCGGAUUGGGCUCUGCAACUCGAGCCCAUGAAGUUGGAAUCGCUAGUAAUCGUGGAUCAGCACGCCACGGUGAAUACGUUCCCGGGCCUUGUACACACCGCCCGUCACACCAUGGGAGUUGGUUUUACCUGAAGACGGUGCGCUAACCAGCAAUGGAGGCAGCCGGCCACGGUAGGGUCAGCGACUGGGGUGAAGUCGUAACGAGGUAGCCGUAGGGGAACCUGCG
rnacentral:rRNA from 1 species